GGAAGAGUGGGUGAGUGGUUUAAACCAGGCGGUUGCUAACUGUCCGAAGCUCGAAAGGGCUUCCAAGAGUUCGAAUCUCUUCUCUUCCGCCA
rnacentral:tRNA from 1 species